GUUCUAUUUCGCGUGGCGUCGGGCUGAGGAUGGAAGCAUGAAACGAACGUCUUCCUUCUAGAAAUUUUACCGUUGAUUUCAUCGUGUUUAGACCUGGAUUUCGUGAAUUGAAUCUGUGCUUAAAGAUGAAGAGCAGCAUUGAUUGGCUUAGCCACCACGUUUUUGAUCCCGGUUAGUCGAAUACACCCCUUUCGGACCAAAGGUGCUACAUAAAGAACACAAUGCUUUGCAAUUGUUUUUACAACCUGGACCCUUAAAUCCAGUUUAUGUAAGGUCCUUGGGAUUUACCUGGCAUGCUGUGGUGGUCGCAGAAAUCAUCCUGGGACAGAAACAGAUACCAUUAAUUUUCUGUGUUAGUGUAAUAAAAGAUAUCGAGUACCACUUUCGUGUUGUUAAAUUACCAGCCCACACAGAAGAAACAGAAGUUCCAUAUGAUUUGGAACUUGUACUUGCUCUCUACUGGAUAGUUGGUUUGCCAUUUUGUGAAGAUCUUUGUUUUACUUUGUUUGUUUGCUUCUUGAUUGUAAAAAGGAUGUUGACUUACACUCUUGACGGCUGGAGAAUCAGUGAAACUGGUAGGUGGUGUUUCAUUACUUAGAUAAAGUUUAUAUAGUAAAAUGAAAUACAAAACCAGGAAAAUUAAA